rnacentral:rRNA from 1 species
UGCAGUCGAACGAGAACAGUUCCUUCGGGGACUUAGUAAAGUGGCGCACGGGUGAGUAACACGUGGGUAACCUAUCUUGGGGUCCGGGACAACACUUCGAAAGGGGUGCUAAUACCGGAUAAGACCACGCCCUCCACGGAGGGUGAGGUAAAAGGUGGCCUCUCCAUGGAAGCUAUCGCCUGAAGCUGGGCCCGCGCCCCAUCAGCUUGUUGGUGAGGUAACAGCUCACCAAGGCCGAGACGGGUAGCUGGUCUGAGAGGAUGUCCAGCCACACUGGAACUGAGACACGGUCCAGACUCCUACGGGAGGCAGCAGUGGGGAAUAUUGCGCAAUGGGCGAAAGCCUGACGCAGCGACGCCGCGUGAGUGAUGAAGGCCCUCGGGUCGUAAAGCUCUGUCGGAGGGGAACGAAAACGCGUGAGGACCAAUACCCUCACGUCCUGACGGUACCCCUCCAGAAAGCACCGGCUAACUCCGUGCCAGCAGCCGCGGUAAUACGGAGGGUGCAAGCGUUGUUCGGAAUCAUUGGUCGUAAGGAGCGUGUAGGCGGGACAGUAUGUCGGGUGUGAAAGCCCUCGGCUUAACCGAGGAAUUGCAUCCGAAACUGCUGUUCUUGAGUACGGGAGAGGGAAGCGGAAUUUCCAGUGUAGAGGUGAAAUUCGUAGAUAUUGGAAGGAACACCGGUGGCGAAGGCGGCUUCCUGGACCGAUACUGACGCUGAGACGCGAAAGCGUGGGGAGCAAACAGGAUUAGAUACCCUGGUAGUCCACGCUGUAAACGAUGAACACUAGGUGUUGCGGGUGUUGACCCCUGCAGUGCCGUAGCUAACGCGUUAAGUGUUCCGGCUGGGGAUUACGGUCGCAAGACUAAAA